rnacentral:rRNA from 1 species
GCAUUCAGUUGCCGAUCGGGUAAGUGCCGGGCACUCUGGAAGGACUGCCAUCGACAAGAUGGAGGAAGGUGGGGAUGACGUCAAGUCAUCAUGGCCCUUAUGUCCAGGGCAACACACGUGCUACAAUGGCCGGCACAACGGGAAGCGAGUUCGCGAGGACGAGCGGAUCCCUUAAAGCCGGUCGCAGUUCGGAUUGAAGUCUGCAACUCGACUUCAUGAAGCUGGAAUCGCUAGUAAUCGUGGAUCAGCCAAGCCGCGGUGAAUACGUUCCCGGGCCUU